GUACCUGAAGAAAAAGCAUCGGCCAACUCCGUGCCAGCAGCCGCGGUAAUACGGAGGAUGCAAGCGUUAUCCGGAAUCAUUGGGCGUAAAGGGUCCGCAGGUGGCGAAUAAAGUCUGCUGUUAAAGACCGGGGCUUAACUCCGGAAAGGCAGUGGAAACUGAUUAGCUAGAGUACGGUAGGGGUAGAGGGAAUUCCCAGUGUAGCGGUGAAAUGCGUAGAUAUUGGGAAGAACACCGGUGGCGAAAGCGCUCUACUAGGCCGAAACUGACACUGAGGGACGAAAGCUAGGGUAGCGAAAGGGAUUAGAUACCCCUGUAGUCUUAGCGGUAAACGAUGGAUACUAGGUGUAGCUUGUAUCGACCCGAGCUGUGCCGAAGCUAACGCGAUAAGUAUCCCGCCUGGGGAGUACGCACGCAAGUGUGAAACUCAAAGGAAUUGACGGGGGCCCGCACAAGCGGUGGAGUAUGUGGUUUAAUUCGAUGCAACGCGAAGAACCUUACCAGGGCUUGACAUGUCGCGAAUCUAGCGGAAACGUUAGAGUGCCUUAGGGAAUGCGAACACAGGUGGUGCAUGGCUGUCGUCAGCUCGUGUCGUGAGAUGUUGGGUUAAGUCCCGCAACGAGCGCAACCCUCGUCCUUAGUUGCCAAUAUUAAGUUAGGCACUCUAGGGAGACUGCCGGGGACAACUCGGAGGAAGGUGGGGAUGACGUCAAGUCAGCAUGCCCCUUACGUCCUGGGCGACACACGUACUACAAUGGUUGGGACAAAGGGCAGCAAGCUCGCGAGAGUAAGCGAAUCUCAUCAAACCCAGCCACAGUUCAGAUUGCAGGCUGCAACUCGCCUGCAUGAAGUAAGAAUCGCUAGUAAUCGCAGGUCAGCAUACUGCGGUGAAUUCGUUCCCGGGCCUUGUACACACCGCCCGUCACACCAUGGAAGCUGGCUACGCCCGAAGUCGUUACCCUAACCCGGUUUUGGGAGGGGGAUGCCGAAGGUAGAGCUAGUGGCUGGGGUGAAGUCGUAACAAGGUAGCCGUACCGGAAGGUGUGGCUGGAUCACCUCCUUU
rnacentral:rRNA from 1 species